ACGGGAGGCAGCAGUCGGGAAUAUUGCGCAAUGGAGGAAACUCUGACGCAGUGACGCCGCGUAUAGGAAGAAGGUUUUCGGAUUGUAAACUAUUGUCGUUAGGGAAGAUAAAUGACAGUACCUAAGGAGGAAGCUCCGGCUAACUACGUGCCAGCAGCCGCGGUAAUACGUAGGGAGCGAGCGUUAUCCGGAUUUAUUGGGUGUAAAGGGUGCGUAGAUGGGUUAUUAAGUUAGUUGUGAAACCCCUCGGCUCAACUGAGGAACUGCAACUAAAACUGGUAAUCUUGAGUGUUGGAGAGGAAAGCGGAAUUCCUAGUGUAGCGGUGAAAUGCGUAGAUAUUAGGAGGAACACCAGUGGCGAAGGCGGCUUUCUGGACAAUAACUGACGUUGAGGCACGAAAGUGUGGGGAGCAAACAGGAUUAGAUACCCUGGUA
rnacentral:rRNA from 1 species